UGGGGAAUCUUGCACAAUGGGGGAAACCCUGAUGCAGCGACGCCGCGUGAACGAUGAAGCCCUUCGGGGUGUAAAGUUCUUUCGGCAGGAACGAUAAUGACGGUACCUGAAGAAGAAGCUGCGGCUAACUACGUGCCAGCAGCCGCGGUAAUACGUAGGCAGCAAACGUUGUUCGGAGUUACUGGGCGUAAAGAGUACGUAGGCGGUUUGCCAAGUUUGGUGUGAAAUCUCCUGGCUUAACUGGGAGGGUGCGCCGAAUACUGGCGGACUUGAGUAUUGGAGAGGAAAGCGGAAUUCCUGGUGUAGCGGUGAAAUGCGUAGAUAUCAGGAGGAACACCGGUGGUGUAGACGGCUUUCUGGACAAUCACUGACGCUGAGGUACGAAAGCGUGGGUAGCAAACAGGAUUAGAUACCCCCGUAGUCCCUGAGCGGGCUGGCAAGGCGCAU
rnacentral:rRNA from 1 species